GAGUCAGAUCCCAGUGACCCUGUGCUGCUGGUACGAGCUGCAGCAGGACGAGAUUGUCUACAACAAAACCAAAAAGGCAAAGUUAGGCUAUGAGUUGGACACGUGAAGAAAAAUCUCAUCAUGAAGUCAUACAACAGAACACAUAUGAUGAAGCCAACCCAAGUGUUCACCAGCUGGCAUUGGGAUUACUUGUAACAAUGGAUGCUCAACAGUGCUUCAGCAGUGAGAGCUGGCCUCAUGCUCUCGUGCCUCUGCUGAAAGGAAGGAGAGGGAGUGACAGCCUCCAGAGCUGACUGGUUCACACGGGCAGCAAUUUCCUG